UUCAUGCCCUGCGGGUAGAUCUCCCACCCUUGUGUAUAUCAUUAUCUGUUGCUUUGGCGGGCCGCGAGCCCCGCUCGCCCGGGUCCUGCCCGGCGUGCCCGGCGUGCCCGCCAGAGGAAACCCAAACUCUGAAUGUUAGUGUCGUCUGAGUACUAUAUAAUAGUUAAAACUUUCAACAACGGAUCUCUUGGUUCUGGCAUCGAUGAAGAACGCAGCGAAAUGCGAUAAGUAAUGUGAAUUGCAGAAUUCAGUGAAUCAUCGAAUCUUUGAACGCACAUUGCGCCCCUUGGUAUUCCGGGGGGCAUGCCUGUUCGAGCGUCAUUAUAACCAAUCCAGCCUGGCUGGGUGUUGGGCCUCGCGGUACCGCGGGCCUUAAAGCUAGUGGCGGUGCUCUCAUGCUCUACGCGUAGUAACUUUUCUCGCUAUAGGGUCGUGGGAGAUGCUCGCCAACAACCCCAAAUUUUUUCAGGUUGACCUCGGAUCAGGUAGGGAUACCCGCUGAACUUAAGCAUAUCAAUAA
rnacentral:sRNA from 1 species